rnacentral:lncRNA from 1 species
UCCACCGUGGCUCUUACAGUCUCAGCCAUGGUUGCAUACCUUCCAAGCUCCACCGCCUCUUCUUCCUCGUGGGCAGAUCCCUGAUUUUGUGUAGGACAGCACUUGAAAUGUAUUUGUGUGCUCAACAUUGGUUUCCUCUCUGGAACCUGGGAUCACUUCAGGGGUGGACACGUGGCCCAACCAUGACUGAUGAGACAUGCGGGGAAAUCUGCAGAGGCAACUUCUAGGAAAGGUUGGGCUCUUGCAGCCACCCUGUGACUAUGAGGUUUUUGUAAGCUCCAGACAUUGGAUAAAGCAUUUUGAGGGAUAGGUGAAAACGAAAUCCUGCCCUUUACUCUUGAGAACUCACUCUGCUGUGGGAGGAGAGACAGGCAGACCUCAGUCUACUGACAGCAUGAACAGAAAGAGAGGGUCUCUUUCUGCUGGUGCUUCGGUUUGAGAACCAGUGCUCCUGACUUUGGUUGGCCAUUGGUGUCUGUCUGAAGAGGGUCUCCACUGCCCCCAGGCAUGUUCCUUCUCUCACUGCUGCCCCCUGGGAUGGAAACUCGACAUCCCCUCUUUCCCUUCCUACUGGCACCAACGGUACCAGAGCAAACCCCACAAUCUCCAUGCCUACAUUUCUUUGACAUCCACCUGUCACCAUCUUUGGAGGAUUCAAGUGAAGUUCUUUGUCUUUUAUGGGACAGAGAUGAUUCUCCACUCCAGAGGGUCUGGAGUGAUUAUAGGAAUGUAAUCGCCUUGAACAAUCAGCGUGUUUUACAGCCUACUGCCCUGCAUUUUGUGUGGAAUGCAGUUGUCUUAUUGCUUGGAACCAGCUCUCAGUAGACCUCAGCAGCUUAUAGACAAACCCGAGUGAACUUUCCUCAUGACCAUGCUAGUGUCUCCAUCCUGGGAUGAGCCACAGCUUCAUCACCAUAACAUGCAACCUAUGUGCUGGUGUGAUGACUCGCUGUGUCUGCACCACUGAGGCUCCUCCUCCACAUGCCAUGACGCGUCCUCUCUUCUCUCCAUCUCCCCAUGAAGUCCUCCUGUCACUUUCCCUCAGGGAGACAUGGCUUUGGAGAGUACUCCCAACAGCAUGCUUAUUUGUGCCAAGUAAUAAAACUCCUG